UUUGUCGACUUAGCACGCGAAGGCAGAGUGCUUAAUGCGUUUGCUGCAGCACUAAAGGGCGGAAACCCUCUAACACUUAGCACUCAUCGUUUACGGCGUGGACUUACCAGGGUAUCUAAUCCUGUUCGCUCCCCACGCUUUCGCGCCUCAGCGUCAGUUACAGACCAGAGAGUCGCCUUCGCCACUGGUGUUCCUCCACAUCUCUACGCAUUUCACCGCUACACGUGGAAUUCCACUCUCCUCUUCUGCACUCAAGUUCCCCAGUUUCCAAUGACCCUCCCCGGUUGAGCCGGGGGCUUUCACAUCAGACUUAAGAAACCGCCUGCGCGCGCUUUACGCCCAAUAAUUCCGGACAACGCUUGCUUUUUCUACGUAUUACCGCGGCUGCUGGCACGUAGUUAGCCGUGGCUUUCUGGUUAGGUACCGUCAAGGUACCGCCCUAUUCAAACGGUACUUGUUCUUCCCUAACAACAGAGUUUUACGAUCCGAAAACCUUCAUCACUCACGCGGCGUUGCUCCGUCAGACUUUCGUCCAUUGCGGAAGAUUCCCUACUGCUGCCUCCCGUAGGAGUCUGGGCCGUGUCUCAGUCCCAGUGUGGCCGAUCACCCUCUCAGGUCCGCUACGCAUCGUCCCCUUGGUGAGCCGUUAACUCACCAACUAGCUAAUGCGCCGGCGGGUUCAUCUGUAGUUGGUACCCUAAAACCCCCCUUUUAAUGAUUGAAACCUUGCGG
rnacentral:rRNA from 1 species